UACGUAGGUGGCAAGCGUUGUCCGGAUUUACUGGGCGUAAAGAGCGCGCAGGCGGUCGUUCAAGUCGCGUGUGAAAGCCCCCGGCUCAACUGGGGAGGGUCACGCGAUACUGAUCGACUCGAAGGCAGGAGAGGGAAGUGGAAUUCCCGGUGUAGUGGUGAAAUGCGCAGAUAUCAGGAGGAACACCGGUGGCGAAGGCGGGACUCUGGGCCGAUACUGACGCUGAGGAGCGAAAGCGUGGGGAGCGAACAGG
rnacentral:rRNA from 1 species